rnacentral:tRNA from 1 species
AACCAGCUAGCUCAGUUGGUAGAGCAUGAGACUCUUAAUCUAAGGGUCAUGGGUUCAAGCCACAUGUUGAGUA